rnacentral:rRNA from 1 species
UACGAAGGGGGCUAGCGUUGCUCGGAUUGACUGGGCGUAAAGAGCUCGUAGGCGGUGUGUCGCGUCGGCCGUGAAAACCUGCAGCUUAACUGUGGGCUUGCGGUCGAUACGGGCAUCACUGGAGUUCGGCAGGGGAGACUGGAAUUCCUGGUGUAGCGGUGAAAUGCGCAGAUAUCAGGAGGAACACCGGUGGCGAAGGCGGGUCUCUGGGCCGAUACUGACGCUGAGGAGCGAAAGCGUGGGGAGCGAACAGG